GGGGCAGGUACAAUUCAGCACAAAGUUCUGCUCUAUGCGAGUCGUCAGGUAUUCAUUCCAGCAAGACUGGCAGGACAAAACGGGGGCGAGGGGGGGGGGGGCUGAUCAGAGACAGACAGCCUGAUCACCAUCUAGACACUCACCCUUCCACGGCUUCCAGGAAAGUCAGAGACGGAGGGUUCCAGGGCCUACCUCACUGCUGACCCUGCCUUGCAGACAUCUUGGAUUUCUGGGAUGAGGCCAGAUUGUAGUUGUCUCUGAGGAUGCAUGGGGCUCAGGCACUGGCCUAAAUACAGUCACUACCAAGGAAGUAACAGUCAACCGAAAGGAUCUGAGCUAUGGAAGCAGCAGUGUGUGUCGCCUUAGAUAAGGGUCCAACAGAAGGCUGGAGUAUGGCAGGUGUGGUCCCCAGUGGAAGCAGUGUUUGGUGUGGGGCUUUCGUGGAGUGGUUGGAUCAUCCGGGCUCUGCCUGGACCAAUGACUUAUUCCACUACUGGAAGAUGGUGGACAAAGAUCACUGGGAAUGGGGCUCUGAGGCUACCUUGACCACCUAGAGGUAAGCAGCUGUCCUCUGGCCUUCCGCCAUGAUGUUCUGCCUUGUUACAGGCCUAGAGAUGAUGAAGACAACAUGGAGACAACCGGCUGCAGACAGAUGAGCCAGACAGAUCCUUCCUCCCUUAAGCAUCUCUCAGGCGUUCAUCACAGCAAUGCAUGGUCAGCACCAGUGAGCUGAGAGUGGAGCUGGGGCGUGGCUAAGAGCACCCGUUGCUCCUCUAAAGAACCCAGGUGAGAAGGAAGGGAGCCUGGGGACACCGCCUUUCCUCCUGGACUCGGGGCUCCUGCAUGCCAGCACCGGUGCGGAUGCCAGCGCCUCUAAUUUCCGCUAGUCCCCCCCCCCCAGCUUCCUCAGCCUGAGGCUCUAAGGCCUCCACCUUCCAACAGACUCGGUCUCUUCCCCACAAAGCAGACUAACCUGAGGUGUCCCCAUGUCCUCCCCACAGCACAGCCAUCUCCACCCCACCCUCGUCACCCCUGCCAGACUUUUCCAAACGCCUCUGCUGUUCCUACCACCUCACCCUAAAGCAGGUCAUUAUGUCUUCUCCCUAAUACCCAGGAGCCUCCUGAUCAAUGGCCCUUUCUCCCCUCCCCUCUCAAAACAAAGUCCAUGAGUCUGUUCCACUAAGCACCCCUGGUCCUCAGGCUAUGAUCAAGCUCCGAAAUGAUCAAUCAAAGCACCAGGGACACCAGGUGACAGUACUCAGGUGAAGAACCUGGACCAUCCCUGUUAGGGUUCUGUCUAAGCUCCACCCACCAUUACCUGGCAACAGCUAGGUAGGCCUGCCCACUAUAAAAGGGGAUGCUCAGCCCCUCCCCGCCUCUCUCCUCUCUGCCCUCUUGGGCUCUCCUCCCCUCCACUUCUCUCCACAUGGUCAUGGCCGGCCUCCAUGGUCUCCACUUCUCUACUCUCUCCGCCUUUCUCUCCCUCCACUACCCCAUUAACGCCCAUCCUCUGCCCUGAAUAAACUCUUUUCUAUACCAUG